GACAGAGGGUGCAAACGUUGCUCGGAAUUACUGGGCGUAAAGCGCGUGUAGGCGGACGUGUAAGUCAGGUGUGAAAUCCCCGGGCUCAACCCGGGAACUGCACUUGAAACUGCGCGUCUUGAGUACUGGAGAGGGUAGUGGAAUUCCUGGUGUAGCGGUGAAAUGCGUAGAGAUGUGGAGGAACACCAGUGGCGAAGGCGACUUUCUGGUCUGUAACUGACGCUGAGGCGCGAAAGCGUGGGGAGCAAACAGG
rnacentral:rRNA from 1 species